rnacentral:rRNA from 1 species
UACGUAGGGGGCAAGCGUUGUCCGGAUUCAUUGGGCGUAAAGAGCGUGUAGGCGGCCAGGUAGGUCUGCUGUGAAAACUCGAGGCUCAACCUCGAGACGUCGGCGGAAACCAUCUGGCUAGAGUCCGGAAGAGGAGAGUGGAAUUCCUGGUGUAGCGGUGAAAUGCGCAGAUAUCAGGAAGAACACCCGUGGCGAAGGCGACUACCUGGCCUGUUCUUGACGCUGAGGCGCGAAAGCUAGGGGAGCAAACGGG